rnacentral:lncRNA from 1 species
GUUUAGAUAAGCAAGUAAAUAUAUCAGAACAGUUAGGCAAAUUGUCUGAGUCAUCUUCCUUUGAAGAGGAACUAGUAUUCUGCUUUAGGAGUGUGACCAGCUGAUCACGUUGGAUUUUUGUUAUCCCAAACAGUUCCUGUGUUGCAUCCUUUGAGACUUGAUUUGCAUGAGUCUCUUCGGAUUUGCUUCUGUUAUAUAGUUUAUGCCCUUUGAGAUAUCCAUGGAGUUUGUAGCAGACCUCCAUCGUGUGCCCUGGCAUUCCACAAUGCGAGCAAUUAGGUUUGUUUGGGUUCGCUUUGAAGCAUCUCUCCAGUGAGUGCCCCAGAACCUUGCAGUGGCUACAAUAGUAUUUCUUCGAGUUUGUAGUUUAUGUGUUGCUUUGUUUUCCUCCAUCUUUAGUCAUCAUCGCCAUCAUCUCCCCCUUUGGUUAGUCAACUGAUAUAUCUCUCCUUUUUUCUUCUUGCUGAAUGAUGGAAUAUACCUCAUUCAAUGUGGGAAAAUGCUUAAUCAAGAGCACAUGAGCCUUCAAUCCUUUGAAGAAUUCAUUUAACCCCAUCAGAAUUUCAUCACGCAAUCUCGUUGUUGGUAAUCAACCACGACUUUCAAGCCUCCACAAGUACAAUUUGGUAUUGAUUCGUAGUUCAGCAGUUCAUCAAAAAGU